CCAUUCUGUGUUAGCUUGUAAUAGCUUCACUGUAUUUCAGAUUUUACAGACAUGUCAAAAAUGGAUAGGUCAUGUUGCUUUUGGAACAGUUUACCAAAUUCAGCUAUUUUAUCUGGGAUAUCCAUAGAGACUCCUUCAGACAGGAGCCUGUGUACUUGGUAAUGUUUGUUAAGCAAGUUGAUAGAGUUGAUGAACCCAAGCCGCCAAUUCAGAAAGUCUUUGAUUUUCUUUGUUCGCUUGGAUGCAAGGUGACUUUCAUCUAGAGCAC
rnacentral:lncRNA from 1 species